UACGUAGGGUGCGAGCGUUGUCCGGAAUUAUUGGGCGUAAAGGGCUCGUAGGCGGUUUGUCACGUCGGGAGUGAAAGCUCGGGGCUCAACCCCGAGCCUGCUUCCGAUACGGGCAGACUAGAGGUAUGCAGGGGAGAAUGGAAUUCCCGGUGUAGCGGUGAAAUGCGCAGAUAUCGGGAGGAACACCGGUGGCGAAGGCGGUUCUCUGGGCCUUACCUGACGCUGAGGAGCGAAAGCGUGGGGAGCGAACAGG
rnacentral:rRNA from 1 species